rnacentral:rRNA from 1 species
UACGUAGGGUGCAAGCGUUGUCCGGAAUUAUUGGGCGUAAAGAGCUCGUAGGCGGUCUGUCGCGUCUGCUGUGAAAACUCAGGGCUUAACCCUGAGCUUGCAGUGGGUACGGGCAGACUAGAGUGCGGUAGGGGAGACUGGAAUUCCUGGUGUAGCGGUGAAAUGCGCAGAUAUCAGGAGGAACACCGGUGGGCGAAGGCGGGUCUCUGGGCCGUAACUGACGCUGGAGGAGCGGAAAAGCAUCGGGGAGCGAACAGG